rnacentral:tRNA from 1 species
GCCGGAGUGACCUUCGAUGGCUCGGAGCGCAGGCUUCAAACCUGUGGGGGCUUGACGGCCCAGUUGUUCGAUUCAACCUCACCGGC